rnacentral:rRNA from 1 species
AGAGUUUGAUCAUGGCUCAGGACGAACGCUGGCGGCGUGCUUAACACAUGCAAGUCGAACGGUAAGGCCCUUCGGGGUACACGAGUGGCGAACGGGUGAGUAACACGUGGGUGAUCUGCCCCGCACUUCGGGAUAAGCCUGGGAAACUGGGUCUAAUACCGGAUAGGACCAUGGACUUCACGGUUUGUGGUGGAAAGCUUUUGCGGUGUGGGAUGGGCCCGCGGCCUAUCAGCUUGUUGGUGGGGUAAUGGCCUACCAAGGCGACGACGGGUAGCCGGCCUGAGAGGGUGUCCGGCCACACUGGGACUGAGAUACGGCCCAGACUCCUACGGGAGGCAGCAGUGGGGAAUAUUGCACAAUGGGCGCAAGCCUGAUGCAGCGACGCCGCGUGAGGGAUGACGGCCUUCGGGUUGUAAACCUCUUUCAAUAGGGACGAAGCGCAAGUGACGGUACCUAUAGAAGAAGCACCGGCCAACUACGUG